CGACGUGGAUAACCUGCCUCACACAGGGGAGUAACAGUUGGAAACGGCUGCUAAUACCGCAUAAGCGCACAGCACCGCAUGGUGCAGUGUGAAAAACUCCGGUGGUGUGAGAUGGAUCCGCGUCUGAUUAGCUUGUUGGCGGGGUAACGGCCCACCAAGGCGACGAUCAGUAGCCGGCCUGAGAGGGCGACCGGCCACAUUGGGACUGAGACACGGCCCAG
rnacentral:rRNA from 1 species